UACGUAUGGUGCAAGCGUUAUCCGGAUUUACUGGGUGUAAAGGGAGCGCAGGCGGCACGGCAAGCCUGAUGUGAAAGCCCGCGGCCCAACCGCGGGACUGCAUUGGGAACUACCGGGCUGGAGUGCCGGAGAGGUAGGCGGAAUUCCUGGUGUAGCGGUGAAAUGCGUAGAUAUUAGGAGGAACACCAGUGGCGAAGGCGGCCUACUGGACGGUGACUGACGCUGAGGCUCGAAAGCGUGGGGAGCAAACAGG
rnacentral:rRNA from 1 species